rnacentral:rRNA from 1 species
AUUGAACGCUGGCGGCAUGCCUUACACAUGCAAGUCGAACGGCAGCACGGGAGCUUGCUCCUGGUGGCGAGUGGCGAACGGGUGAGUAAUGCAUCGGAACGUGCCCUGAAGUGGGGGAUAACGUAGCGAAAGUUACGCUAAUACCGCAUAUUCUGUGAGCAGGAAAGCAGGGGAUCUUCGGACCUUGCGCUUUUGGAGCGGCCGAUGUCGGAUUAGCUAGUUGGUGGGGUAAAGGCCCACCAAGGCGACGAUCCGUAGCGGGUCUGAGAGGAUGAUCCGCCACACUGGAACUGAGACACGGUCCAGACUCCUACGGGAGGCAGCAGUGGGGAAUUUUGGACAAUGGGCGAAAGCCUGAUCCAGCCAUGCCGCGUGUCUGAAGAAGG